rnacentral:rRNA from 1 species
GUGAACGCUGGCGGUAGGCCUAGCACAUGCAAGUCGAACGGCAGCACAGUAAGAGCUUGCUCUUACGGGUGGCGAGUGGCGGACGGGUGAAGAAUACAUCGGAAUCUACUUUUUCGUGGGGGAUAACGUAGGGAAACUUACGCUAAUACCGCAUACGACCUACGGGUGAAAGCAGGGGAUCUUCGGACCUUGCGCGAUUGAAUGAGCCGAUGUCGGAUUAGCUAGUUGGCGGGGUAAAGGCCCACCAAGGCGACGAUCCGUAGCUGGUCUGAGAGGAUGAUCAGCCACACUGGAACUGAGACACGGUCCAGACUCCUACGGGAGGCAGCAGUGGGGAAUAUUGGACAAUGGGCGCAAGCCUGAUCCAGCCAUACCGCGUGGGUGAAGAAGGCCUUCGGGUUGUAAAGCCCUUUUGUUGGGAAAGAAAAGCAGCAGGUUAAUACCCCGCUGUUCUGACGGUACCCAAAGAAUAAGCACCGGCUAACUUCGUG